rnacentral:misc_RNA from 1 species
UUUCCGUAGGUGAACCUGCGGAAGGAUCAUUACUGAGCGAGGGCCCCUCGGGGUCCAACCUCCCACCCGUGUUUAACGAACCUUGUUGCUUCGGCGGGCCCGCCUCACGGCCGCCGGGGGGCAUCUGCCCCCGGGCCCGCGCCCGCCGAAGCCACCUGUGAACGCUGUCUGAAGUAUGCAGUCUGAGACAAUUAUUAAAUUAAUUAAAACUUUCAACAACGGAUCUCUUGGUUCCG